rnacentral:rRNA from 1 species
CCUACGGGCGGCAGCAGUGGGGAAUAUUGGACAAUGGGCGAAAGCCUGAUCCAGCCAUGCCGCGUGUGUGAAGAAGGCCUUCGGGUUGUAAAGCACUUUCAGUGGGGAAGAAAGCCUUGGGGCUAAUACCCUCUAGGAAGGACAUCACCCACAGAAGAAGCACCGGCUAACUCCGUGCCAGCAGCCGCGGUAAUACGGAGGGUGCGAGCGUUAAUCGGAAUUACUGGGCGUAAAGCGCGCGUAGGCGGUCUGAUAAGCCGGUUGUGAAAGCCCCGGGCUCAACCUGGGAACGGCAUCCGGAACUGUCAGGCUAGAGUGCAGGAGAGGAAGGUAGAAUUCCCGGUGUAGCGGUGAAAUGCGUAGAGAUCGGGAGGAAUACCAGUGGCGAAGGCGGCCUUCUGGACUGACACUGACGCUGAGGUGCGAAAGCGUGGGUAGCAAACAGGAUUAGAUACCCGGGUAGUC